UACGUAGGGGGCAAGCGUUGUCCGGAAUCAUUGGGCGUAAAGAGCGUGUAGGCGGCUCGGUAAGUCCGCUGUAAAAGUCCAGGGCUCAACCCUGGAAAGCCGGUGGAAACUGUCGGGCUAGAGUCCGGAAGAGGCGAGUGGAAUUCCUGGUGUAGCGGUGAAAUGCGCAGAUAUCAGGAGGAACACCAAUGGCGAAGGCAGCUCGCUGGGACGGUACUGACGCUGAGACGACGAAGCGUGGGGAG
rnacentral:rRNA from 1 species